UACAAGGCAUACGGCUCAGUAACGCGUAGUCAACCUAACCUAUGGACGGGAAUAACCUCGGGAAACUGAGAAUAAUGCCCGAUAGAACAUUAUGCCUGGAAUGGUUUAUGUUCCAAAUGAUUUAUCGCCGUAGGAUGGGACUGCGGCCUAUCAGUUUGUUGGUGAGGUAAUGGCCCACCAAGACUAUUACAGGUACGGGCUCUGAGAGGAGUAGCCCGGAGAUGGGUACUGAGACACGGACCCAGGCCCUAUGGGGCGCAGCAGGCGAGAAAACUUUGCAAUGUGCGAAAGCACGACAAGGUUAAUCCGAGUGGUUUCUGCUAAAGAAACCUUUUGUCAGUCCUAGAAACACUGAUGAAUAAGGGGUGGGCAAGUUCUGGUGUCAGCCGCCGCGGUAAAACCAGCACCUCAAGUGGUCAGGAUGAUUAUUGGGCCUAAAGCAUCCGUAGCCGGCUCUGUAAGUUUUCGGUUAAAUCUGUACGCUCAACGUACAGGCUGCCGGGAAUACUGCAGAGCUAGGGAGUGGGAGAGGUAGACGGUACUCGGUAGGAAGGGGUAAAAUCCUUUGAUCUAUUGAUGACCCCCUGUGGCGAAGGCGGUCUACCAAAACACCUCCG
rnacentral:rRNA from 1 species